CUUUCGUUAACCGAAUUACUGAAAAGAAAAAUUAAAAGGAAACGGACUGAACUCAUGGUUGUCGUUCAGCAGGAAGCGCGCGGAGUUGAGUCUGGGUGCGCUGUGUUUAGUCACCAAACAUCCUGAUAUCAACUCUAAGGGUGAAAAUUGGGGCUCUGAGGAACGUGUGGUGUGCAGCUGGUGAAAGCUCUGUGGUGGCAACCAUGCUGUGACGGAGCGGGUUCCUGGCAUCGUGAUUUGGUGGCCAAACAGAAGUGAAAAAUCACAUUGCCAGGGAUUUCCACUCCUGCACGGCUCACAUGGUGCUCAAAAUCUGCUAUAACGGCACACCAGUGAACUUUCCAGAUCACUUCAACUUAUAGCUGUAUAAAGAAGACAGAUAAAAAACAACAACUAGUCAGUGGGUUCAUAUUGCUGUGUAUAUACUGUACCUCUGACAUCACUUGGACAAAUUGCUGACAUUAGCUAUUUGUCAAAAUCUCCUUUGAUGCUAUGCAAGUUUUUGCAUGUUGUGGCGGUGUCUAAGUCAAAAGGUGUUCUGUCAGAUCAUUUAAGCACAGCGUCUUUUCCAAACUCAGUAAAACACAAGCAGCGAAUCACAUUUUUGGAAACGUCACAUCACAUGUUCUCAGAUAUAACUGAAACUCUUGCAUAAAUUAUCGAAUGAAUUUCUUGCAUGCUAGUCUUGGAAGCCUCCUUGAGCUUUGAUGAUUAUCUAUAGCUCAUUUCAUACGUUUUUUGUGAUUCAUACCGGGUUCAGUGGCUUUUUUCUCCACAUGCACUGCCUCGUUGCUUGCUUGAGGCACAGAGCUUAGCUAAUUGGUGAGCAUUGAUCCAUUAAAUAUACUGUUCACAGUGGCUAAGUUCAGCGUCUGCAGUGAGAAAGCUAACAGGAUGUUGCAGAGCUCUUCUGGAUUUCUACCAGUCAUUGUGGUUAUACUGUACCUAACAGAGCCUAACAGAUGGGAUAAUGAACGAAAGGACAGGUUUGGUCUGCCAGGUAGGCACAGAAGUGUUUGCUCCAAAUGUCAAACCAGUUACGGCUUGGCGGUUUUCAUUUAAUGCUUCCUCAAAAGCCAUUUUGGCUCUGAAUAAUAGAGUUGACUUACCUCUCAAUCCUGCCCUCAUAUCAGCAGUAGGCAUCAGGUCAGCCUCCUAUUUGAGUGGAGAUUAAUGUCAAAUUGGGAAGCUCAAAUUUUGCAUUUCAGUGACUCAAGCAUGUCCAACACACUUUAUUUGUAAUCAUUUGUACAAUUCAUAUGUAACUGAUAUACUGUAUCUAAUAAUGUCACCUUUCCUCUUGAUUUAAAUGAUAUCUAUCAUCAGUCACCUUAGUCAUUUGUCCAAAGUUUAAUAUUUAAUAAAUUUUGAAUGUGUCCCUUGAUAAAUGAUGUUUUAUUCAAUAUACAUUUCAUGUUAGUGUGACACCAUUGCGAGGUUCAUGAAGACUUGGAAUCUCAAUGUAAUGCUUAAAAAGAGUGAGAAAUUGAGUGUAAAAAGAUGUAGCAUGCUCAGAGGGCCGAGGCCUCCGGUGCCUGCUAAGCUGGUAACAGUGUUUUCACAGAGAGCUGGCUCAGCUCAGCAGGAACAGGAGUUCUGCCGCAUCCACCAUCCACUCCUCUCUCCUCCCAUAUUGUCUGGGAAUAUAAAUUGUACAUGUAUUUGAGGAAAAACUCUAUUGGACACACAAGGCUAGUAGUAAAUUUGCUGCAUCUCUAAUAAGUGCUUAUCUAUCUAUCCAUUACUUCACCAAAAACAAGGCUAUUAAUUCAGUCAUCAGUGAGAUCUGGCACUAGAAAUGUGUGACUUUUUGUCUUUUAACCUAAUUCUGCUUGCUUUUCUUGUACUUACAGAAAAAAACACCCUUUGGUGUUCCUGGGCGUUACAGACGGUCAGGGUGAAUUAUGGCCAGCUCCUUAUUUUAGGGCCUUUUUGUCACCUCCAUUUACGAGUGAAUAAUGGUCGUCAUAUAUCUCAGGUGUACCAUAGAUCUCGCUGGGUUUGCAUGCAUGAGUCUAACUUUAGCUUUCAUCCUUUCAUGUCUGGACGGAGCCGCUGCUAUAAGAGCCGGGUGAGAUUUACAGCUGCAUGUAAAAGAAGAGCCUAAAGGUCUCAAUUGGCUAUCAGCUUUCACGAUGUAAACUCUAUCACUAGUGUUUCUGUGUGAUAAACAUGUUCUCAUUCAGACUUCUCAAACACUGCAUGGCUUCUAUUAAUGGGGAUCUCUGUUACACAAAAUGGUUUGAGGCUAUGUGCAAGGAUAAUAAAUCCAGAAAAUAAUGGAAGUCUGUCUUGUGCUAAAGACUAGUUUCUGUUCUUCAGGUCAUGCAUGAGUUCUUGAUUCUGAUCAGAAGGAUAGCAUGUUUAUAAUAAUUAAGUCAUUUUUACAUGUUAUCAUUUCUAUGCUAACAGCUCAGUCAUAGGGACUUGAAGUUUUUCUAUAAAGAAUUUAUAAAUUUAAAUUAAAUAUUAUUUAUUUUUUAAAUUUAAUCUACAUUUAUUUAACAUUUAUAGAAGGAGGCUCUGCUGUCAGUGCUUGAAACAAUCUGAGAAAAAACUAUAGCUUUAAGUUUUCUGACAUCUUCAAAACAGAGGAGUUUCUACUUUCCAUUUUCUCUGUAACGUCUCAACCUUUCUCGUCUCAUUAACAUCAAGAAGUGUAACAGCUGUUUAUAGCUGCUAUAAUGUAUGUUAUAGCUGCUAUAAUGUAUGUGAGCACAGGAGCUAAUAAACAUUAAAAUGUAACAGAUAAAAAGUGCAGUGGUGGCUUAAGUGGUUAAAGCUUCGGGUUGUUGAUCAGGGUUCAAGCCCCAGCACUGCCAAGCUUUGGGCCCUUGAGCAAGGCCCUUAACCCUCUUUGCUCCAGGGUUCUGUAUCAUGGCUGACCCAGACCUCUGAACCCAACCUCCAAAAUUUGGGAUAUGCAAAGAAAGAAUUUCACUGUGCUGUAUGUAUAUGUGACAAAAAUAAAGGCUUCUAUAACAAGUUGUAA